rnacentral:misc_RNA from 1 species
GAUGAAGAACGUAGCGAAAUGCGAUACGUAAUGUGAAUUGCAGAAUUCAGUGAAUCAUCGAAUCUUUGAACGCAUAUUGCGCUCUCUGGUAUUCCGGAGAGCAUGCUUGUUUGAGUAUCAGUAAACACCUCAACUUCCAUAUCUUUUUUGAAAUGGGAGUUGGACUUGAGUGAUCCCAACGCUUUUCCUCACCGAAAAGUGGCGGGUUACUUGAAAUGCAGGUGCAGCUGGACUUUUCUCUGAGCUAUAAGCAUAUCUAUUUAGUCUGCCUAAAAAACAGAUUAUUACCUUUGCUGCAGCUAACAUAAAGGAGAUUAGUUCUUGUGCUGACUGAUGCAGGAUUCACAAAGACAGGCUUCGGCCGACUUUGUAAACUCGAUCUCAAAUCAAGUAAGACUACCCGCUGAACUUAAGCAUAUCAAUAAGCGAGGA